rnacentral:rRNA from 1 species
UGCGCAGGUGGGCUUGUAAGUCAGUGGUGAAAUACUGCCGCUUAACGGUAGAACUGCCAUUGAUACUGCAAGUCUUGAGUAUGGUUGAGGUAGGCGGAACGUGUUGUGUAGCGGUGAAAUGCAUAGAUAUGACACAGAACUCCAAUUGCGAAGGCAGCUUACUAAGCCAUUACUGACGCUGAGGCACGAAAGCGUGGGGAGCGAACAGGAUUAGAUACCCUGGUAGUCC